UCUUACAUAAAACACUUUGUAAUUAAAGGAUAAUUACAUAAUAUAUAUUAGAUAUAAUAUAAAACAGUCAGUUGUGUUUUGUUUUAACUUUACCAUAUUGUAAUUUGAUUAGUAGCAACUUUUAACCACUACAGUGUGCCACUCAUAAUUCCUAGACAUGUGAAUCGGGUAGGAAAUCAUUGUUAAUAUUUUUGAAAAAUUAACCUGUGAUAAGACAGCAUAUCAAGAUAGAAUAUGCUAGUGUAAUAGGGCGGCCCUUAGCGGCUGGAAACACAGUGAGAUGGACGAAGGCAAGUGCAGUGGAACAAAAGUAUUUAUUGGCCAUACAGCUCUCCUUACAACAAUUCACUUGUCGAGCUUCUUCACAGCACAAUCAAUCCUCCUCUAAUGACAACCAGCAGCCUUAAAUAUGUUCAGCCGUCACAGACCAAACCAUUAUUCCACUCUCAGGUAAAUUCUUAAAUCCCAACCUUCCACCACAGUAUCUAAUAUAUCAAUUAGAAUAAAUAAAUGCAUAAAUACAUUUCACAUUUUCAUAUUAAUAAAUAGUUCACACUUUAAUUUUACACCAAACCCAAUACUAUAAAAACCCAGAAACCCAAGCACAAAAAGAUUCACCACACUCUCUUUACCAAUGGUCUCUCCCGGAACCUUUAAAUGGUGUCUGGACCCCCGGGGAAACAUUUGCCCAAACACCUUGAAGAGGACACAGGCAAGAAAGACAACCACCACAUUCCUUGAUGAGGAGCAGCUGUGCAGGAUCUGAAUCAAGGCUACCAACUGAUUUUUAAAAUUCCCAAUAAAUAAUCAAUAAAUAUUUAAA